rnacentral:rRNA from 1 species
GGGAUGCUUUAAGCAAUAUUACGCAAGUCGAACGGCAGCACGACUUCGGUCUGGUGGCGAGUGGCGAACGGGUGAGUGGCAAUGUAUCGGAACGUGCCUAGUAGCGGGGAUAACUACGCGAAAGCGUAGCUGAUUACCGCAUACGGGCCUCUUCGGGGAAAGCGGGGGACCUUCGGGCCCGCAUUAUUAGAGCGGCUGAUAUCGGAUUAGCUUAGCUAGGGUAACGGCUCACUACAGAUGAUCCGUAGCUGGUUUGAGAGGACGACCAGCCACACUGGGACUGGAGAUGACGGCCCAGACUCCUACGGGAGGCAGCAGUGGGGAAUUUUGGACAAUGGGGAAACUUUGAUCCAGCCAUCCCGCGUGUGCGAUGAAGGCCUUCUGCCGGUAAAGCACUUUUGGCAGGAAAAGAAACGGCACGGGAUAAUACCCGCAACUGAUUUGCAUUGCAGAAUAAGCACCGCUAACCAUGCGCCAGCAGCCGCGGUAAUACGUAGGGUGCAAGCGUUAAUCGAAUUACUGGGCGUAAAGCGUGCGCAGGCGGUUCGGAAAGAAAGAUGAAAUCCCAGAGCUUAACUUUGGAACUGCAUUUUUAACUACCGAGCUAGAGUGCGUGUCAGAGGGAGGUGGAAUUCCGCGUGUAGCAGUGAAAUGCGUAGAUAUGCGGAGGAACACCGAUGGCGAAGGUAGCCUCCGGGGAUAACACUGACGCCUGGCGCACGAAAGCGUGGGGAGCAAACAGGAUUAGAUACCUCUGGUAGUUCACGCCCUAAACGAUGUCAACUGCUGUUGGGGCCCGGGCCUUGGUAGCGCAGCUAAUCGCGUGAAGUUGACCGCCUGGGGAGUACGGUCGCAAGUGAUUAAAACUCAAAAGGAAUUGACGGGACUCCGCACAAGCGGUGGAUGAUGUGGAUUAUCUGAUGCAACGCGAAAACCUUACCUACCUUGACAUGUCUGAAUCCCGAAGAGAUUUGGGAGUGUCAGUAAGAGAACUGAACACAGGUGCUGGGUAUGGCUGUUUCGUCAGCUCGUGUCGUGAGAUGUUGGGUUAAGUCCCGUAACGAGCGUAACCCUUGUCAUUAGUUGCUACGAAAGGGCACUCUUAAUGAGACUGCCGGCAGACAAACCGAGGAAGGUGAUGACGUCAAGUCCUCAUGGCCUCAUGGGUAGGGCCUACACGUCAUACAAUGAAAGUCGGGACAGAGGGUCGCUAACCCGCGAGGGGGAGCCAAUCCAGAACCCGAUCGUAGUCCGGAUCGCAGUCUGCAACUCGACUGCGAAGCGGAAUCGCCAGUAAUCGCGGAUCAGCAUGUCGGUGAAUACGUUCCCGGGUCUUGUACACUGCCCGUCAGCCACCAUGGGAGUGGUUUUACCAGAAGUAGUUAGCCUAACCGUAAGGAGGGCGAUUACCACGGUAGGAUUCAUGAUCAGAAGUCAAAAUAAAGGUAA